UACGUAGGGCGCAAGCGUUGUCCGGAAUUAUUGGGCGUAAAGAGCUCGUAGGCGGCCAGUUGCGUCUGCUGUGAAAUCCCGGGGCUCAACCCCGGGCGUGCAGUGGAUACGGGCUGGCUAGAGGCAAGCAGGGGAGAACGGAAUUCCCGGUGUAGCGGUGAAAUGCGCAGAUAUCGGGAGGAACACCGGUGGCGAAGGCGGUUCUCUGGGCCUGUACUGACGCUGAGGAGCGAAAGCGUGGGGAGCGAACAGG
rnacentral:rRNA from 1 species